rnacentral:lncRNA from 1 species
GCGGGUCUGAUACUGUGCUUGGUCUUUUGGGGGCUGGCUUUCGUUUUUUCUGCUUUACUGCUCUCUUUGCGGUGCUGAAGUUUUCUGGUGUGUGUGCGAUGACUUCAUGUCUUUUCCUCUCUGUGUCAGCGUUGUCGAUCUGUCUAUCUUCACUCCGUUCGUUGUUUUCUGUUCUGUCUCUUUUCUGUUUGGCUUCUGCUGGUGCUUUGUCCACUAAUCUCCCUGAGUAUCCGUGCCUCCAAGCUGUUUUCUUUAUCUUUUCCAGUUCUAUGGACAGGAGGUUUUCUUUGCUGCAGUGUGUGGGUGCUCUUUCCAGGUGUGGCCUGGUGGCCACUUUCUGGUGCUUCCAUCUAUCUCUGGACCACCUUGGUAUGAUGGCCUCG